GGCACGGACUCUGGGACGCGGACCGUGAAUGCCCCCCUCCAAUUCUGCCACCUCCCCGGCCCUCCGCCGCCGCCGCCGCCCUCCUCGCCUCCGGCGUCCGGGCGCGGCCGCCGCGCUCGAGGCCUUCCUCCCUCACCACGUGGCACAUGGACGAAGUCAAAAAAGAUGCACCGGUGGCCAUCGCUACUACACCGGUGGCCAUCGCUACUACUGUGGCGCCCCGCCGCACCUUGAUCCUGAGGAUCGACAGAAUGGUAUACCUCUACUUUGACGUACAGCUACAUGUUCGAUGCUGAGGGAACCAUCAUCCUGCCGAGUGCUGAGGCAUCGCUGUAUCAAUUCGUCACAGAAUCGAUCCAUCAAAGUCACAUGGUACCAAUGCUCCUCUCAGUGUCAACGUUAGUACAAUCUUGCAUAUUGUUCUCUGUUUUAUUCGCAGUACACAGUUCUAGUGCCACUACGCCACUGAUAAGGGCCUGCAUAAAGGUGAUUCUUUGCAAAACAGUGGUAUCAACUCUGAGAUUUAGGCCAUUUGCUCAAGUACAAAUCGUAUCUGAAAACUUCAUGAUCACUCUAUUAGUUUUUGUGCUUUAGUUCGGUCUGUGGUUAUUGCUGUAUGGAUUUUUUUUCUUCAUAUUCUGUUUGUCUUUCUCCUUAUCCUUGCAGAUGCAUGCUUCUGUGUCAACUACACACUUGAAUGCUGAGAUGCAAUCCUUCUUUGAACAAAAUGUGGCUCUGAAAAUAUCAUGCCUCUUUCACCGAAAACAUUGGGCUUCUUGAAAGAACAAAGCAAAGAGAGAAGCAUCCAAAUCAACACAGCUCAUCAAAAGAGGAUUUUCUGAAGGUGAAGAUGAAAGGAUGAUAGAGUCAGUCUCUUAGACUCAUAUCAUAGGAGCCGCGAAUGAUAACAUCCUUGCUGAGUGCCUCUUGCGAAGUUGAGGAGUCAAGAACUAAGCAAACACCAAAAAGAAUCAAAGGAUUCUGGAGCAAUGGAGAUUGCUCUACAAAACACUAGCCUUUUCUCUCUCCUUCCUUUCUUUUCCAGGUGGGAACUAUCAAGGCAGAUAUAAGGGAUAAGAAUAUCUCUAUCCAAAUAUGCAAUCUUUCAUGCUUGUGCCGGUUGUUUGCGUCAUGUACAAAAAAAAGUUGAAAAAAACUAGAGAAAAGAUCAGAUAAUAAUAUAUCUGACUUUCUUCAGAUGCCUGCAGCAUCAUACAGGGAAGGAUGCAGCAAAGGAUAUGAAAAAGCAAAGAUUGCAGCGUCGGAUCGUGGCAUCGCAAUGCCUCACAUCUGGUAAGGUCAGCCUGGUUUACAAAGCAGAGGCAGUUCAAUUUGCUGAGAAAAGCCGAGGGCAAGUUGGCCAGAUUCCACGCCACAGAUAAGGCCGGUCAGUGAGGCGAUGAGGGUUGGCUGGCUAUUUUGGAUGCUAUUCUGAAACCGGCUGAGGGGAUUGAUCCCUGGUUCGUUUGAAACUGGCUCGUUCAGCCGGUCGGAAUUGGUUCUAUGUGUCGUAUGACAAAGUAGUGGCCGUACCAUACUGGUAUGGCACAUCAUUGCUACGACAGACACAUUUUCUGUAUAGGAAGGGUGUGCAUGGAGCAAUAGCAUCUGUGGUAUUUUUCAGGCUGAGGUAGGCACUGCAUGCAAUGUGUCCUGUCGCAGGUGGAGAAUGCAUAUGAAUUCUGGUCUAUGCAAGGUCGUGUGCAUCCAUUUAUCUGUAUACUAUAUGCUGGUUAAUUGAGAGAGAAAUUUUUUUUAAAUGUAAGCCCCAUUUCAAACAGGGAAAUAUUCUUGAAAAAUCCUAAUAUUCCAAACA